CCUACGGGAGGCAGCAGUGGGGAAUAUUGCACAAUGGGCGGAAGCCUGAUGCAGCGACGCCGCGUGAGGGAUGACGGCCUUCGGGUUGUAAACCUCUUUCAGCAGGGACGAAGCGUAAGUGACGGUACCUGCAGAAGAAGCACCGGCUAACUAUGUGCCAGCAGCCGCGGUAAU
rnacentral:rRNA from 1 species